AAAGUAUUGAAAUUCUCUUGACACAUACCAUCAGAAUAAUCGAAUGAAUCUUGCGACAGAGAUUUACUUUCCAGAUCACUCUCCAGCAUCUGUUGAAGAACAAAAGUUCAUUUUAUUGUGACUAUAUGACAUGUCUUACCUCAAUAGCAAGAUGUGCUCGCACAGAAUCACUGGAUAUAGAACCUCCAAGUCCACUGCUGCCGAGGUCACUCAGUGGCCCAGUGGCACUUAGCGAGCAGGAUGGCGGAGAGUCCAUCUCACAUUCCCUACACCUAGUAUAACUAUCAGAUAUAUCAUAUCAGAUGCAUUUGUGGAGAAAAAAUUAUAUACUCAGUAUCUCAUAGCAUCAAUCAGCUUUCAAGUAUUAUACCGUUUUUAUAAGAUGUGGAGACUGAAUGUUUGUACCUCCAAGUCACAGG